rnacentral:rRNA from 1 species
GACGAACGCUGGCGGCGUGCCUAACACAUGCAAGUCGAACGAGAUUCAGUUUGUAGCAAUACUUACGAAGAUCUAGUGGCGAACGGGUGAGUAGCACGUGAGCAACCUGCCCCGAAGACCGGGACAACACCGGGAAACCGGUGCUAAUACCGGAUACCCCCACCGAGCCGCAUGGCUUGGUGAGGAAAUGGAUUCCGCUUCGGGAGGGGCUCGCGGCCUAUCAGCUUGUUGGUGAGGUAACGGCUCACCAAGGCUUCGACGGGUAGCUGGUCUGAGAGGACGAUCAGCCACACUGGGACUGAGACGCGGUCCAGACUCCUACGGGAGGCAGCAGUGGGGAAUUUUGGACAAUGGGCGCAAGCCUGAUCCAGCAAUGCCGCGUGCAGGAUGAAGGCCUUCGGGUUGUAAACUGCUUUUGUACGGAACGAAACGGUCUACCCUAAUACGGUGGGCUAAUGACGGUACCGUAAGAAUAAGCACCGGCUAACUACGUGCCAGCAGCCGCGGUAAUACGUAGGGUGCGAGCGUUAAUCGGAAUUACUGGGCGUAAAGCGUGCGCAGGCGGUUAUAUAAGACAGAUGUGAAAUCCCCGGGCUCAACCUGGGACCUGCAUUUGUGACUGUAUAGCUAGAGUACGGUAGAGGGGGAUGGAAUUCCGCGUGUAGCAGUGAAAUGCGUAGAUAUGCGGAGGAACACCGAUGGCGAAGGCAAUCCCCUGGACCUGUACUGACGCUCAUGCACGAAAGCGUGGGGAGCAAACAGGAUUAGAUACCCUGGUAGUCCACGCCCUAAACGAUGUCAACUGGUUGUUGGGUCUUCACUGACUCAGUAACGAAGCU